rnacentral:rRNA from 1 species
AUUGCCUCAGUAACGGCGAGUGAAGCGGCAACAGCUCAAAUUUGAAAUCUGGCCUGGUCGAGGCCCGAGUUGUACUUUGGAGAGGGUGUUUCGGGGGAGGGGCCGGCCUAAGUUCCUUGGAACGGGACGUCAGAGAGGGUGAGAACCCCGUACGGGGCCGGCGACCGACUUCAGGUGAAACCCCUUCGACGAGUCGAGUUGUUUGGGAAUGCAGCUCUAAAUGGGUGGUAAAUUUCAUCUAAAGCUAAAUACCGGCCAGAGACCGAUAGCGCACAAGUAGAGUGAUCGAAAGAUGAAAAGCACUUUGGAAAGAGAGUUAAACAGUACGUGAAAUUGUUGAAAGGGAAGCGCUUGCGACCAGACCUGCCGCCGGGCGAUCAGCCGCCGUUCUCGGCGGUGCAUUCGCCCGGGGCAGGCCAGCAUCGGUUCGGGCGGCCGGACAAAGGCCUCGGGAACGUAGCUCCCCUCGGGGAGUGUUAGAGCUCGAGGUGCCAUGCGGCCCGCCGGGACCGAGGACCGCGCUUCGGCUAGGAUGCUGGCGUAAUGGUCGUAAGCGGCCCGUCUUGAAACACGGACCAAGGAGUCUAACAUCUACGCGAGUGUUUGGGUGUCAAACCCAGGCGCGCAAUGAAAGUGAACGGAGGUGAGAACCCGGCCCCGGGCGCAUCAUCGACCGAUCCAGAUGUCGUCGGAUGGAUUUGAGUAAGAGCGUAGCUGUUGGGACCCGAAAGAUGGUGAACUAUGCCUGGAUAGGGUGAAGCCAGAGGAAACUCUGGUGGAGGCUCGCAGCGGUUCUGACGUGCAAAUCGAUCGUCAAAUCUGGGUAUAGGGGCGAAAGACUAAUCGAACCAUCUAGUA